rnacentral:rRNA from 1 species
GGAACUCGGCAAAAUGCCCCCGUAACUUCGGGAGAAGGGGGGCCCUGUCCGGUGAUCACUCUUGCAGUGUGAGCUGGGUGGGGCCGCAGAGACCAGUGAGAAGCGACUGUUUACUAAAAACACAGGUCCGUGCGAAGUCGUAAGACGAUGUAUACGGACUGACGCCUGCCCGGUGCUGGAAGGUUAAGAGGACCGGUUAGCUCGUAAGAGCGAAGCUGAGAAUUUAAGCCCCAGUAAACGGCGGUGGUAACUAUAACCAUCCUAAGGUAGCGAAAUUCCUUGUCGGGUAAGUUCCGACCUGCACGAAUGGCGUAACGACUUCUCAGCUGUCUCAACCAUAGACUCGGCGAAAUUGCAUUACGAGUAAAGAUGCUCGUUACGCGCGGCAGGACGAAAAGACCCCGGGACCUUCACUACAGCUUGGUAUUGGUGUUCGGUUCGGUUUGUGUAGGAUA